AAUCCAUAGGUUAAUGAGGCGAACCGGGGGAACUGAAACAUCUAAGUACCCCGAGGAAAAGAAAUCAACCGAGAUUCCCCCAGUAGCGGCGAGCGAACGGGGAGGAGCCCAGAGCCUGAAUCAGCAUGUGUGUUAGUGGAAGCGUCUGGAAAGGCGCGCGAUACAGGGUGACAGCCCCGUACACAAAAGCGCAUGUGCUGUGAGCUCGAUGAGUAGGGCGGGACACGUGGUAUCCUGUCUGAAUAUGGGGGGACCAUCCUCCAAGGCUAAAUACUCCUGACUGACCGAUAGUGAACCAGUACCGUGAGGGAAAGGCGAAAAGAACCCCGGCGAGGGGAGUGAAAAAGAACCUGAAACCGUGUACGUACAAGCAGUGGGAGCACAGGUUUACCUGUGUGACUGCGUACCUUUUGUAUAAUGGGUCAGCGACUUAUAUUCUGUAGCAAGGUUAACCGAAUAGGGGAGCCGGAGGGAAACC
rnacentral:rRNA from 4 species